GCAGCAGUAGGGAGGACACUAGCAGAGUUCCCAGAGGAGCUGUCCAGGAAGGCUGCUGGCGACGCUGCUUUUCCAGAAACAUCUCUGCUCUCCGCCAGGCGCCGGGAACCUGAAGGCAGACAAAAGCUCUCUGCUGUGGCCUGGGAAAGCAGUAGAAGAUGGCCCAAGUGCUUAGGCCCUGCACCUGCAUGGGAGACCUGGAAGAAGCUCCUGGAUCCUGGCUUCGGAUUUUCUCAGCUUCAGCUGUUGCAGCUAUUUGGGGAGUGAACCAACAGAAGGAAGACCUUUCUGUCUCUCCCUCUCACUGUCUGUAACUCUACCUCUCAAAUAAAUGAAUGAAAUCUAUAUAAAAA